UACGUAGGGGGCAAGCGUUGUCCGGAUUUACUGGGCGUAAAGGAUGCGUAGGCGGACAUUUAAGUCAGAUGUGAAAUACCCGAGCUCAACUUGGGUGCUGCAUUUGAAACUGGGUGUCUAGAGUGCAGGAGAGGAAAGCGGAAUUCCUAGUGUAGCGGUGAAAUGCGUAGAGAUUAGGAAGAACACCAGUGGCGAAGGCGGCUUUCUGGACUGUAACUGACGCUGAGGCAUGAAAGCGUGGGGAGCAAACAGG
rnacentral:rRNA from 1 species